AUUGAACGCUGGCGGCAGGCCUAACACAUGCAAGUCGAGCGGAUGAAGAGAGCUUGCUCUCUGAUUCAGCGGCGGACGGGUGAGUAAUGCCUAGGAAUCUGCCUGGUAGUGGGGGACAACGUUUCGAAAGGAACGCUAAUACCGCAUACGUCCUACGGGAGAAAGUGGGGGAUCUUCGGACCUCACGCUAUCAGAUGAGCCUAGGUACGAUUAGCUAGUUGGUGAGGUAAAGGCUCACCAAGGCGACGAUCGUUAACUGGUCUGAGAGGAUGAUCAGUCACACUGGAACUGAGACACGGUCCAGACCACUACGGGAGGCAGCAGUGGGGAACAUUGGACAAUGGGCGAAAGCCUGAUCCAGCCAUGCCGCGUGUGUGAAGAAGGCCUUCGGAUUGUAAAGCACUUUAAGUUGGGAGGAAGGGCAGUAAGUUAAUACCUUGCUGUUUUGACGUUACCGACAGAAUAAGCACCGGCUAACUUCGUGCCAGCAGCCGCCGUAAUAC
rnacentral:rRNA from 1 species